AGAGGUGUAGCUCAGUGGUAGAGCGUCUGCUUAGCUUGCACGAGGUCCUGGGUUCAAUCUCCAGUAUCUCCA
rnacentral:tRNA from 1 species